CUGUAGGCCACGAAUUAAGAAGUGUCUCUUUCCUCGCCUUGAGUCUCGAGUGACGAGCGAUCCUGAGCGAGCAAGAAAAUAGAAAGGCAAAGGUUAUGUAAAGAGGAGCAUAAUCUCCGGCUUGCCCACGUCACCGUCCGGCGGAACCAACGGUAAGGCCACGACGGUGAUGAUGCAGAGGCUGAACUUCUACCUCUCAGAGCACCCCGCCAUCGUGGGCUUCCGAUGGAGCCACGCCCUCUGCUGGGGCUCCACGUGGUCCUUCCUGGUGUCCUCCAUCGCCGUCUACGUCGUCGUUUCGAUCUUCCUCCACCUGGUGCUGGCCCUCCUCCUCCGCCGCGGGAAGCCCGUCCCUCUGGGACCCUUACCCGCAAUCCACAGCCUCUCCAUGUCGCUCAUCUCCGCCACCAUCUUCGCGGGCCUUCUGGUCUCCGCCGCCGCCGAGAUCAAGGAGACGCGGUGGUUCUGGCGGCGCUCCAAGACCCCGCUCCAGUGGCUCCUCUGUUUCCCCCUCGGGACGCGUCCCUCCGGCCGCGUCUUCUUCUGGUCCUACGUGUUCUACCUCUCGCGUUUCCUCCACAUGCUCAGAACCGUUCUCGUCAUAUUACGACGUCGUAAGCUCGUUUUCUUCCACCUCUUCUACCACUCCAUCUCCACCUUCAUGUCCUUCCUCUGGCUCGAGUUCUCCCAGUCCUUCCAAGUUCUCGCCAUUCUCUUCACCCCCCUCGCCUACUGCGUCACCUACGGCCACCGCUUCUGGGCCGCGAUCGCCGCGCGUCGCCCCUGCUUCCCCCUCGUCCUCAACUUUCAGAUCGCUCUCUUUGGAUGCAACGUCGUUUGCCACGUUGCCGUCCUUUUGUUGCAUUUUUUUAAAGGUGGCUGUAACGGCAUCGGCGCCUGCCUCUUCAAUGCCCUGCUUAACGCUGCUAUUUUGUUGCCGUUUCUCAACUUCUACGUCCGAGUCUACUUUCGAAGGUCCACAAAACAUAGUAACAAAUUCUUCAACUUCAGUUAAACCUUAGCUUGGUCGGUCAAUGCUGCCAACGCCAAGGUUUCCCAGCUUUGUGUUGUGGGUGCGGUUAUUGUCACUUUUAUGUGAGACAUGGUGUUACUCUAUUCAGGCAACUCAAAGAGUUUCUCUGCUAUGGUUUAAAGUUUAAACUUUGAUGUACAUUAUCCCCCCACCAACACUUGGAUGCUUGAGUAACCAUAGGAAUGAAGGUGUUAAGUGUUUCAGGGUCAAUCUCUUUUAUCUCAACAUCGGUGGCAAAUGGUCAUGGCAUCAUCCAUACACAAGAAACUUGUGGGUCUUGAUAUAUACAUUGUGGAAAUUAAUAACAAGGUGGAGGCUUCGGUAGAAUGUUAGACCAUCCAAAGUAUGGAGACAAGCAGUCAAAUUUUGAUGUUAAUUUAUUUUAAGGGUUUGUGUACAAAGUUUGGAUAAUUUUAACUGUUAGUACCCGAAGCACAAUUUGGGUUGCUUUCCUCUUUUCUCUAAGGUGGCGGCAAGGCAUUAUUUCAGGAAUAUGGCUAGGUGUGUUAGCUGGUUGAUCGGCCUUGCAUGUUUUCAGAUGAAUUAAUUCAUUUUGUGAAAUUUGGGUAAAUUGCUGGCAAAGGUGGUUAAAUGUUAGAUUGCUUAGUUGGGAUUUUUCUGGGUUUCUUUCUUAAGCAGUGGGACGUAGUCACUUAAUU